GACGAACGCUGGCGGCGUGCUUAACACAUGCAAGUCGAACGGUAAGGCCCUUCGGGGUACACGAGUGGCGAACGGGUGAGUAACACGUGGGUGAUCUGCCCUGCACUUCGGGAUAAGCCUGGGAAACUGUGUCUAAUACCGGAUAGGACUCCUGGCUUCAUGGUUGGGGGUGGAAAGCUUUUGCGGUGUGGGAUGGGCCCGCGGCCUAUCAGCUUGUUGGUGGGGUAACGGCCUACCAAGGCAACGACGGGUAGCCGGCCUGAGAGGGUGACCGGUCACACUGGGACUGAGAUACGGCCCAGACUCCUACGGGAGGCAGCAGUGGGGAAUAUUGCACAAUGGGCGCAAGCCUGAUGCAGCGACGCCGCGUGAGGGAUGACGGCCUUCGGGUUGUAAACCUCUUUCAGCUAUGACGAAGCGCAAGUGACGGUAGUAGCAGAAGAAGGACCGGCCAACUACGUGCCAGCCGCCGCCGUAA
rnacentral:rRNA from 1 species